rnacentral:rRNA from 1 species
UACGGGGGGGGCAAGCGUUGUUCGGAAUUACUGGGCGUAAAGGGCUCGUAGGCGGCCAACUAAGUUGGACGUGAAAUCCCUCGGCUUAACCGGGGAACUGCGUCCGAUACUGGAUGGCUUGAGAUUGGGAGAGGGAUGCGGAAUUCCAGGUGUAGCGGUGAAAUGCGUAGAUAUCUGGAGGAACACCGGUGGCGAAGGCGGCCUUCUGGUCCAGUACUGACACUCAAGUGCGAAAGCGUGGGGAGCAAACAGG